ACAUGAAGGGACCCAUGGUUCCAGCUGCAUAGUGGGACUAAAGCCAAUGGGAAAGACACUUCACAUAGCAUUUGUCUGGUUGGACCUUCUGCCUUCCACCAUCUAAAGGCACAUCAAGGUAUCAUCUUGGAAAUGGGACUGGUCACCUCCAGGUUAUUGAAUCUGUCUGUGUCUUGACUUCAGACUUCACAGCCUUCAGAACUGUAAUAAAUAAAACUCUGCUAUUUAUACA